AGAUUCAGAAACAUAAAACAAAAAAAAAAAAAACCACUUGGUUUUUUGGGACACACCGAGUCUUCCACCCCCCGCCCGCCGGGCAGAGGCUUCCACCACCCCGCAGAGCCGGCGCCCCUGGCAGGCACCGUGUCCCCGGGGACCCACCGCCACCCUCACGCCCACCGGGCCACCCCCGGCGGGGCCACCGUGGCCAGUGGCAGCGAGAGGAGGCCGGCGUGCGGGUCCCAUGGCCGGGCUGGCUCCGGCCACACCGCUGGGGACCCCGGGGAUGGCGGUGGCACAGUCAGGGGGGGCACCAGGGCAGCAGGGCUUGGCGGUGACCACUCCGUCACCCCAUGGCUUCGGGGGAGCCGGAGUGACCCAGGCCAGCCCUGGCGCUGGUGGAGGUGGCGUCCCCGUCCCCCAGCGUGGUGCCCGGUGCCCCCUCCUCGCCCGUCCCCAGCCCCUCAGGGGUGGCCAGGGCUCGGGAGGGGACGGCUUGGUGACCGGUGUUCCCAAAAAGCCGAGUCCCCCACGAAGGCAUUAACUCUUCUGGUGCUAGAGGGAAGGACAAGGAGGUUCCUUCUGACCCUCACACAUCUCCGAACCUUUACAACCUUCAGCCAGGGAAAAGGCCCAGGCCCGGGCGGGGGGUGGCAGCCCCCCCCGGGCACCAGGCCCUCCCCGGGACGGUCCCUGCCCUGCGCCGGCGCACCAGGCCCUCCCCGGGACGGACCACGCCGAGCUGCCGUCCCCCGUCCCCGAGCUCCCGCGGGGCGCCCGUCCCCGCGCCUCCAUCCAGAGCUCCCCGGCAGCCCCCGGUCCCCGGGGGUCCGCAGCCUCUGCCCCCUCCCCGGGUGCCAUCCCGCUGCUCCCAGCCGGGUCGGGCGCCCGGGGACGGCGCGAGGGGCUUGGGGCCGGACCGGCGAGCAAACCGACUGCCCAGGGUACCCCCGGCCUCGCGCCCCGCAACCGGGCGAGCCAAGAGGCGUCCGAAUCACGACAGCAGCCAUCGCGUCUGCCCGAGCCCACCGCCUGCUCUCCCGGGGGUGUGCUGUCGCACCCCAGCAGGCCACCCCGGCCCCCUCUGUGCCAACGCUGCCGCUGUCCCCCGCGACCUGGCAAGGGGACCCCGCAGACCAGGUCCUGCCCCUUCCAACCCCCUGCCCCGUGGCCACAGCCCGGCCGGUCACCCCUCGGCUGCCGUGCACCCCACCACCUCUAUUUGCCCCCAUGGGCCCCUGCCACGCGUCCCCCCCCCGGUUCCUGGCACCUUCAAACCACCCCGUACAUCCCCCACCAUCACCCCCCCGUGCACCCUCCACUGUCACCCACCGUCCACCCCCUGUCAUCACCCCCCUGUGCACCACCCCACUGUACAUUUCCCACCAUCACCCCACUGUGCCCCCCCUGCCAUCACCCCUCUGUGCACCACCCACCAUCACCCCUCUGUGCACCCCCCACCAUCGCCCCCCAGCUCUGCCCCACUGGCCCCUGCACGCCUCGUCCGUGGCCAGCAGCAUGUGCAGCCGCAUGUGCAGUCCCACGCACGACCCGCGUCCCCGCUGGGCACCCCCCCGGCCCCCCCUCACCUUCCAUUGCCCGUGCUCCGGCUCCUUCACCCACCCUGGCACCGCUCGGCACCCUCCGUUGGCAAGGGCUCGCUGC
rnacentral:lncRNA from 1 species